GGCUACAACAGCAUAUAUCUGAGGACCUAUUCUAACCCAGGUCUCCUUGGGCUGCAACAACAUAUAUCUGAGGACCUAUUCUAACCCAGGUCUCCUUGGGCUGCAACAGCAUAUAUCUGAGGACCUAUUCUAACCCAGGUCUCCUUGGGCUGCAACAGCAUAUAUCUGAGGACCUAUUCUAACCCAGGUCUCCUUGGGCUGCAACAGCAUAUAUCUGAGGACCUAUUCUAACCCAGGUCUCCUUGGGCUGCAACAGCAUAUAUCUGAGGACCUAUUCUA